UCCUAGCGGCUGAAACACAACAACGAAGCCCUCUCUCGACCUCGCUCGCGGCGGCCAUGAAGUAACAAAAGCUCUUAUCGGAAAAAUAACAACUCAAAGCAUAAUCCGACAAGCAGAAGUGGAAAACUCAGUACAACAAUAAUUAACAGCAAGUUUGAGAGUGAAAGGGGAAUCGGAUUACCUACGGCAAGGAGGAUUUUGCCGGUUUAAUAUUUGAGGUACAACGCUGAUUAAUGGAAAUAGAGAGAGUGAAGGAAAAGAGACUUACCUGCGGCGAGUUGUGCUUUUGCAAGUGAGAACUGAAUGAUUGCAGCGUCGGUGUUUGAAUCAGCUGCAGGGUGUUGACGGCUCAUCUAUGGAGGCUCGAAGACCGGAUCCAUUGUUGAAGGCUGCUAGCAAGCAAGAGAGGUAUGAAGGCUUCUCUUCUCCCUCUUACUUUUUGUAAUUUUUCUGUAGACUGUAACUUAGAAGUUACAGACUGUUGGCUGCCUUCUCCCCUCUUUUUCCUCUUUUUGUAUUUUGUAACUUAGAAGUUACAGAAUAUUUCUCUGUGAACUCUCCCCUUUUUCUCCUUUUUCAUUUUUCAUAAUUGGUUUGCCUCUCUUCUAUAUAUAGAGGAAAAAAUGAAGGACAAUUUUGGUCAUUUUGGAACCAAAGCUUAGUCUUUAAGCUCACUUAGUUACUAAGUUUUCAUCAUUGCAAAGAAUAUUCUUUCCAAAAUAAUCAUUGCAAAAAUUCCUUGAAUGCUAAGUUUACUUAAUAGCCAAGUUCCACAAAUUUGUGCACAUGGGAGAAUAUGCACAUGGGAUGGAAAGAUUUUCUUCACAACUCUUGUAGUGAAAGUUCCACGACAAGCUUUCUCUUAUGUUAGUAACUUCUAUGUGGUAGUUAUAACAUAAUAUAUAUAUUUCUUUGACUUCCUUUGACUUUUUCUUUUUCUUUUUUUUCUUCUUUUUUUUUCGAAAAAUAUAGCUUCCAUGUGGG